rnacentral:lncRNA from 1 species
CUCAGGUCCCCAGCUCCCCGAUCCCCUCACCCCACCUCUGUCUACCCACAACCGCAUACACGUUCCCCUUGCAGAUCAAUUUUUGCCAAUGGGUGCCGAGCGCUACUCCUGGUCUCACCAUCCAGCAGGUGCAGCAGGACCGGAAGUCCCAGCGUAGACUCACCCGGGACAUCCACAUGAGACUGCUCUGGCUACACCCGCUGCCAGCUCGCACGUGCACAGAGCAGCCCCAAUCAGAAACCAGCACCAACACUAGGACAUCUCUGAAGACAUAGGCACUUGUGUCACCAGCAACUUACCGAACUUGGCAGUGGACGAGGCCUCGGUGGGGCACGUCCUCAAGAGCUAAACCUUAGCCCUUCAUAUAUCACCCCAGAAAAGAGAUGAAGCAGGCCCUUGAGCCUGUGGUUUCGGAUCCACUCCAGCUCCUUCUGAAGCCAGCGCAGGGCAGGGUGUGCUUGGACCCCAAGCUCCGCAGCCCAACCUCAGUCUCCAUCACCGCCUCCUCCAGGCAUCCCGUCUGUCCUGCCCUGCCCAGCACCCAGAACGCAGUGACCCAGGGCAGGCCCAGUGAACGUUCGUUACAUGAAGGGAGGAGAAAAACCAUAAAGCAAAGAAAGAACGAGAGGAAGAGUGAAGAGGACAGAUGAGGAGGCGGUGUCCUCGGGACCCAGGGCUGCAUUGCUGCAGAAGGCCCCGUCUGGGGCUGCCAGGGACCCCUGGGGUAUAGCAGGUGAGUGACGGAGCCCAAGAGCUAAAGCUGAUCGUUAGAUCUUUAGAGCCUGGAGGACGCAGGAUAAUAAGCUCAGACAGGGAGUAGGACCCUGUGAGUCCUUAGGUCACCCGCUGGCCCUCUCUGGGACUCAGGUUCCAAUCUAACAGCGGGGGAAUGAGUCCGGUUGGUCUCUGAGAGGCAUCCCCAAGCUGGCUUUCAGGGUCCUACGCCCCAUGUUCCCCACGGAGGGGAAGAGACACGGGUGGUACCUUCACAUGGGAAGGCCCUUUUCUCUGGACCCUGCCCGCAGCGCCAGCCUCCUGCCGCCCUCGUUCCCCCUUCCCUUCCCUGCCUUUCCUGGUCCCCCCACCAUACGCACAUGACGACCUGGUAAAAGUUCAGUUGCCAAAGCUCCUGGUCCGGUGAGGGAGUGAGUGGGGUAUAUGUGUCCAGCCAGAAUGCACCAUGGAAAGCAGGACCCUCAAGGCAGGCAGGAGCCAUGGAUUCUUUCCAGCUCCUGGUGGGCUGGACCUAGAAGGACAGAAAUAGAGCCCAUGAGACUGUGACAACAGUGGCCAGUGGUCUGUAUGUCUUCAGACACUAGCCAGUCCACAGGAAGUGAAAGAGACAGGUGGGUGGGCGAGCUUAUGGAUGGAUGGAUGGUUGGAUGGGUAAAGAAUGGAUGAUGGAUGGACGGACAGGUAAGUGGAUCGGUGAGUGAGUAGGUGGACGGACAGAUGGACAGAUAGACAGACAGAUGAACAGCAUCCGGGGGAGGCGACCGUGAGCCGAAAUCGGGUUUGGUCCCCUUGUG